UCAGUUCACCUAAUAGCCGCUUAAAAUCGGCUUGACUUGGCUUACAAAGUAUAAAUAAACGGCGACAGAAUCGCUGUGUUGGACAUUUUUUGGGGACGUUUAGAUGGUGAAAACGAAAGGUCUACCGUAAGGUUCCUCACUAACUUUUGAGGAUCUUCACCGUGCGGUGGUUAUUUCUCCGUGGUCUUUGCUUGGUCGGGAGCUGUGUGUAUUCGCGAGAACCGCCUCUGCGCAAGGAUACGUGGUCUCGUUCUGUAAUAUUGUCUAUAAGCAAUGUGGUAACGACUUGCCCGAGCAUGAACACCGUGUGUUAUGCUAUUUGUGGAUGUAUGCCGUACGUGUAUUUCUGGGAAUUUCGGAGGACCUCUUUGCCAGCCUUUCCACAAUGCUGACGACAAUUUCUCGAGUAUGCAACCCGCUCAUUCUGAAGUGACGCAUUUUGGCGACGUAUGAGCGCCUCGAAGAUCAUGAGAGAAAGAUGCUCUCGUACAACAGCAUAAUUUUCGGACGGAAUGACCGGCACUGUCACGACUGAUGCGCCCUUAGCGCCCAGCUUGACGGGCACACGAGAAGCAACAUGUGACGAAUUACCUCAAUGACAUCAAAUGCAUCAUUGCAAAAGCAACUGUACUUUUGUGAAGGGCGUUUAAAUAUCCGGCGGUCUAUUGUGACGGGGACUGCCACUACAUUAAUAAUCUACAAACAGUCCCGUUCCUCGCCAGAAACGUUCCGGUGCUUUUCGUUACAUACUCAUUAUUGUGAUGUGUUCAACAAAAGGUGUGCUGUCUGCACCUAAUGCUGUGAUCAACGCUAUGCGUUAUUAAAACGUUUUGCAACUUUGA